rnacentral:tRNA from 2 species
GCGGGGGUAGCCAAGUGGUCAAAGGCGCAGCGUUGAGGGCGCUGUCCUGUAGAGGUUCCGGGGUUCAAAUCCUCGCUCCCGCA